GACGAACGCUGGCGGCGUGCCUAACACAUGCAAGUCGAACGGAAAGGCCCGGCUCUUGUGGGGUGCUCGAGUGGCGAACGGGUGAGUAACACGUGAGUAUCCUGCCCUUGACUAUCGGAUAACAUCAGGAAACUCCGGCUAAUACCGGAUAGGAGCUCCUGCUGCAUGUUGGGGGUUGGAGAGUUUCGGCGGUUGGGGAUGGACUAGCGGCUUAUCAGCUUGUUGGUGUGGUAGUGGCUUACCAAGGCUUUGACGGGUAGCCGGCCUGAGAGGGUGACCGGGGACAAUGGGACUGAGAUACGGCGCAGACUGCUACGGGAGGCAACGGUGGAGAAUCUUGCAGAAUGGGCGGAAGCGUGAGGCAGAGACGCCGCGUGCGUGAUGACGGCUUUCGGGGUGUGAACCGCUUUCGCCUGUGACGAAGCGGGAGUGACGGUACUGGGUAAGAAAGCACCGGCUAACUACGUG
rnacentral:rRNA from 1 species